rnacentral:lncRNA from 1 species
UGACAUCUUGCCGGGGAAGGUUAGACCUAAGAUGGUGGGAUUCAGACAGAGAAAGAAGGAUGAAGACAUUCAAGCCAAGAUGAACAUGGGAAUCACUAUGAAAUAUUCCAGAGUCAUUGAAGAGGCAUGGCAUGUCUGACUCGAGAGCUAUAUUUGUGGAAGGUCUGGAAUGCUACUUUCAAGACUGAUUGCUGCUCCUGAAAGAGUCUGUGGUAAAUAAGAAGCAUUCUACAAGUGGAGACACUUCGAGCAAGGUGUGGUACAGACUCAGCUGGGUUACUGAAUUGAGACUCUUCCAUCUCCAACAUCUCACCAUCUGUUCCACAAAUGCCAGGACCCUGGAAUGAGAUGGGCGACUGCUGGCCUUGGACGACUGCUAACUGGGGAAGGUGUUCUCAGCAAAGAUUUGCAGUCACAAAUGAUUGCAUUGAGGCUGAGUGGUGGAGGUCCCCACGCAGGACCACCGAGCAAACACAGAACAAGAGUGUGCUCCCUCCAGGAUGGUCCCUGGCUUCUCCGCAGUGAUUCCAACACAGAAAACCAAGUACCGUGGUUCAGUCCAAAUUCCGAAGGCCCUCAUCUCACUGAUCGUACUCGCAGUUCUUAAUUCUCCCUGCGCAUCAGAGUGUCAUGGGGAACUUUAAAUCAAGGAAAGAAAAUGAAUGUCCAAGUUCCAACCCAUGAGAUUCAGAUUCAAGUGGUUUGGGGUGAGGCUGUAGAUUUCAAAAGCUUUUGAGGUAUAAUGGUGUUUUUAAUGUGUCAACUUAGCCAACUUGGUUCCUGUUACAGACUGUGUUUGUGUUCCCCUCAAAUUCAUAUGUCAAAACCCUACCCCCCUCAGUGUGAUGGUAUUUGGAGGUGGG